rnacentral:tRNA from 1 species
GCCCCGGUAGUUCAGUGGUCGAGCUCCUGUAUAUGGUGAGCAAUAACUAUGAGGAGGUUACAGGUUUGAAUCCUGACCGGUGGCA